UCAAUGGGGUCUUUGCUUUGCAGCUGUGUGACACUGCAGGGACUUGCAGGAGACUAACAGGUGCAAUUUAUCCCAAGAGUACUUCCAGAGUAUUUUCAAGCCCCCGUCCUCUGUGAGGCCGCCAAGAUGCACGUGGUCAUCUUUCUGGCAUCUGAAGGAACCAAAUUUAGUCGAGAUGCAGCCGAGGACAAGGUGUCUCUCAGGAGGCAGAGGACUCACAUCGUCAGGCAUCCUCGGGGUCCCUGGAGUGCAGCCUCUGUCUGAGACUCUCGUGGACCUCACCCCAAUGUGACCCUGGCUGGGGGUUUCAAGGUAUGUCAGCAAACUUCUGCUUCUGAGAGAAUUCCCCAGUCAGGGAGGAGCGGGGCUUUCCUGCCAGAAUGCAGAGUUCAACAGAUAGUGUCCUGAAUGACCAGCCGCUGUAGGGACAGUGGGCACUCACGUCUCAAAGAUGAGAGCAAAGCAGAAAAUGACGGGCUCAUCCACCGGCAGCUGGGACCCUGCAACUCUGGAGUCCUCUAACCCUGCCCAUCUUGGCAUGAGUCCUGGAAGGUGACUCUCAGGGGUUUAA
rnacentral:lncRNA from 1 species